CCUACGGGGGGUAGCAGUGAGGAAUAUUGGUCAAUGGCCGGAAGGCUGAACCAGCCAUGCCGCGUGAAGGUCAGUGCCCUAUGGGCGUUAAACUUCUUUUGUGCGGGAGCAAUAAUGGUCACGUGUGGCCAGACGAGAGUACCGUACGAAUAAGCAUCGGCUAACUCCGUGCCAGCAGCCGCGGUAAUACGGGGGAUGCAAGCGUUAUCCGGAAUUAUUGGGGUUAAAGGGUGCGUAGGCUGUGAGGUAAGUCAGCGGUGAAAUGCCCCCGCUCAACGGGGUGAAGUGCCAUUGAUACUGCCUUGCUGGAAUGCGGAUGCCGUAGGAGGAAUGUGUGGUGUAGCGGUGAAAUGCAUAGAUAUCACAAAGAACACCGAUUGCGAAGGCAUCUCACGAAUCCGCGAUUGACGCUGAUGCACGAAAGCGUGGGUAUCAAACAGGAUUAGAUACCCGGGUAGUC
rnacentral:rRNA from 1 species